rnacentral:rRNA from 1 species
AUGAAGCUGGAUUCGCUAGUAAUCGCGCAUCAGCCACGGCGCGGUGAAUACGUUCCCGGGCCUUGUACACACCGCCCGUCAAGCCAUGGAAGCCGGGGGUGCCUGAAGUGUGCAGCCGCAAGGAGCGCCCUAAGGUAAAACCGGUGACUGGGGCUAAGUCGUAACAAGGUAGC